GGGAAUGUGGCUUAGUGGUAGAGCGCUUGCCUAGCAUGCAUGUAGCCCUGGGUUCGAUUCCUCAGCACCCCA
rnacentral:tRNA from 1 species